GGGUGAACAACAUAUCCAAAAAUUACCCAGAUCAGAGCAGGGGUUCAGGAAAUUCCUGGAAGUCUCUUUUGACCGACCGCACGCAUAGUUUCAUUCCCAAAACAGUUCCAGAUAAUUAGGCUGUACGGCCGGUCUAUUUAAAACAGUUGAAGUACCGUUCGAAUUACCGAACGGAAUGGUGAAUGGCCAUAGCUAAUGUGUGUCCCUUGUUGGUGGGCUUCGAUUCACCGAACACCGUUCGACUCCCAUUUGAAUAGUCUAUGUUACCUUUGGAAGGUAACUGUUCAGCGGUGUUCGUGCCAUCGUGUGUCCGAUUUGAAUUCCAUGAACUCGACAACAAAACACAGCUGAACACGUUCGACUAAAUAAGAUGGCUGCCGCCACGUGUUCGACUAAACGAAUGGCGGCCAUUUCGACUACUUUGACUGUAUCCGAAGUGCCAAUUUGCAGAAGGGGAAUGGAAGGAGUUUUAGGUGAACAAACAGAUGAACCAGAGGAUAGAUUUAUAACCCAUGGACAGAGAACCGGAUUAACCCUUUUCGAGUUAACUUGGGGAUGUCCGGACUCUGCUUAGGGCAGGGGUUCUCAACGUUAGUCCUCAGGACCCCCUACC